CGAACCAGUAAUGUCUACACUGCUCUAGGUGUUCCCUCGCGCGCGUGCAGUGCACUGAACACGUUACCCAUCGCUGAUGGUCUGGUGAGGUUCUCACUCGACUCCGAGAAGAAGCACAGAGAAAGAUUCCCCUUCUUCUGAUGUGUCAGUGAUGAUGUAGGCUACGUUGGCAAACACCUGAGACAGAAAGUAAAAGAGCAAACGCCGAAAGCUUUCAUGAGGUUAGAGCAGGCAACAUUGGCUCUGCUUGACACUUGGCCUAGUUAGGAAAGCUAUGUACAUGGACAUGCACUCCACAUUCUUUGAUUAAUAACAAGAAGUUCAAAGAAUAAGAAAUUCACAGGAAAAUGGAGACGCCAUGUAGGAAAUAUAACUUACAGAUAGAUGAACCAAUAGCAGGCAGAGGCAAAAUAUACAAAGGACACCAGUAUAAAGAGAGUUGGGAGAGGAAUAUCGCCGGC